GACGAACGCUGGCGGCGUGCUUAACACAUGCAAGUCACGGGGGCUCGCAAGGGCAACCGGCGAACGGGUGCGUAACACGUGAGCAACCUGCCGAUCUGAGGGGGAUAGCCGGCCCAACGGCCGGGUAAUACCGCAUACGUUCUUGUGGCCUCAUGGCUAUGAGAAGAAACCUCCGGGGCAGAUCGAGGGGCUCGCGGCCUAUCAGCUAGUUGGCGGUGUAAUGGACCACCAAGGCGACGACGGGUAGCUGGUCUGAGAGGAUGGCCAGCCACAUUGGGACUGAGAGACGGCCCAGACUCCUACGGGAGGCAGCAGUGGGGAAUCUUGCGCAAUGGCCGAAAGGCUGACGCAGCGACGCCGCGUGUGGGAUGAAG
rnacentral:rRNA from 1 species